GGCAUCAAGAUGGAAGAGGGAAAUCAGGAUCGCAAGACACAUGGCCAUAACAAGCUCACUGAACAAGAGAUCAGAGGAUUUCAAGAAGAGAUAGCAAACUUCAUCCUGGAACACGUGGUUAGCGUUGAAGGGAAAUACUCCAUUGCACGAACCAAGAGAUAUGGCGGAGAUUACACUCAAGAACUGGUGUCUAGACUGAUCAGUGUAAACCCACGAAACAAGAUGUCCCGCAACCUCUUCAAAGACUAGUGAACUUUAAUUUUGAUUUGUAUUGGGCCAUGUGAACUUUAAUGUCGCUUUGUGUGUCAAACUACAUUUUGGAGAACAUUGCAACAUUUGUAAUAUAUCUUGAUGGAUUUGUGGUGUA